GCAUCAAUGGCAGAAGGGUUAAUGCAGCGAGCUCAUAACUCGUCGUUCGUAGAACAUGUCCCGGUUCAAAUCCGGGUUGGUGCA
rnacentral:tRNA from 1 species